UCAGUCGACUCCUACGGGGAGGCAGCAGUGGGGAAUAUUGCACAUAGGGGGAAACCCUGAUGCAGCCAUGCCGCGUGUGUGAAGAAGGACCUUCGGGUUGUAAAGCACUUUCAGUAGGGAGGAAGGUAGUGUAGUUAACACCUGCAUUAUUUGACGUUACCUACAGAAGAAGCACCGGCUAACUCCGUGCCAGCAGCCGCGGUAAUACGGAGGGUGCGAGCGUUAAUCGGAAUUACUGGGCGUAAAGCGCAUGCAGGCGGCCUGUUAAGUCAGAUGUAGAAAGGCCCGGGGACUUAACCGUACGGUAAAUUGCUAUUUAGUAAACUGGCAGGCUAGAGUCUUGUAGAGGGGGUAGGAAUUUCAGGUGUAGCGGUGAAAUGCGUAGAGAUCUGAAGGAAUACCAGUGGCGAAGGCGGCCCCCUGGACAAAGACUGACGCUCAGAUGCGAAAGCGUGGGGAGCAAACAGGAUUAGAUACCCUGGUAG
rnacentral:rRNA from 1 species